GACGAACGCUGGCGGCGUGCUUAACACAUGCAAGUCGAACGGAAAGGCCCUGCUUUUGUGGGGUGCUCGAGUGGCGAACGGGUGAGUAACACGUGAGUAACCUGCCCUUGACUUUGGGAUAACUUCAGGAAACUGGGGCUAAUACCGGAUAGGAGCUCUUGCUCCAUGGUGGGGGUUGGAAAGUUUCGGCGGUUGGGGAUGGACUCGCGGCUUAUCAGCUUGUUGGUGGGGUAGUGGCUUACCAAGGCUUUGACGGGUAGCCGGCCUGAGAGGGUGACCGGCCACAUUGGGACUGAGGUACGGCCCAGACUCCUACGGGAGGCAGCAGUGGGGAAUAUUGCACAAUGGGCGGAAGCCUGAUGCAGCAACGCCGCGUGCGGGAUGACGGCCUUCGGGUUGUAAACCGCUUUCGCCUGUGACGAAGCGUGAGUGACGGUAAUGGGUAAAGAAGCACCGGCUAACUACGUG
rnacentral:rRNA from 1 species